UCGCGUUUUCGGAGCGGCCGAUAUCGGAUUAGCUAGUAGGUGAGGUAAAGGCUCACCUAGGCGACGAUCCGUAGCUGGUCUGAGAGGACGACCAGCCACACUGGAACUGAGACACGGUCCAGACUCCUACGGGAGGCAGCAGUGGGGAAUUUUGGACAAUGGGCGAAAGCCUGAUCCAGCCAUGCCGCGUGAGUGAAGGAGGCCUUCGGGUUGUAAAGCUCUUUCAGCCGGAAAGAAAACGCAUGGGUUAAUAACCUGUGUGGAUGACGGUACCGGAAGAGGAAGCACCGGCUAACUACGUGCCAGCAGCCGCGGUAAUACGUAGGGUGCGAGCGUUAAUCGGAAUUACUGGGCGUAAAGCGUGCGCAGGCGGUUUUGUAAGACAGAUGUGAAAUCCCCGGGCUUAACCUGGGAACUGCAUUUGUGACUGCAAGGCUAGAGUACGGCAGAGGGGGGUAGAAUUCCACGUGUAGCAGUGAAAUGCGUAGAUAUGUGGAGGAAUACCGAUGGCGAAGGCAGCCCCCUGGGUCGAUACUGACGCUCAUGCACGAAAGCGUGGGGAGCAAACAGGAUUAGAUACCCUGGUAGUCCACGCCCUAAACGAUGUCAACUAGGUGUUGGGGGAGGAGACUUCCUUAG
rnacentral:rRNA from 1 species